rnacentral:rRNA from 1 species
AUUGAACGCUGGCGGCAGGCCUAACACAUGCAAGUCGAACGAGUGGCGGACGGGUGAGUAAUGUCUGGGAAACUGCCCGAUGGAGGGGGAUCACUACUGGAAACGGUAGCUAAUACCGCAUACCAGCGGAUGUGCCCCGAUGGGAUUAGCUAGUAGGUGGGGGAACGGCUCACCGAGGCGACGAUCCCUAGCUGGUCUGAGAGGAUGACCAGCCACACUGGAACUGAGACACGGUCCAGACUCCUACGGGAGGCAGCAGUGGGGAAUAUUGCACAAUGGGCGCAAGCCUGAUGCAGCCAUGCCGCGUGUAGGAAGAAGGCCUUCGGGUUGUAAAGUACUUUCAGCGGGGAGGCGUUACCCGCAGAAGAAGCACCGGCUAACUCCGUGCCAGCAGCCGCGGUAAUAC